GCAAUGUUAUGUUAUGCUAUGCAAUGUAUGAAAUGUUUUCAAGGACUUUUGGAAUUUAACUUUGCAUAAACUACCAAAAAAAGAAACUUUUUUUUUUUUUUUUUUUUACAAAAUAGAGCAAAGUUAAAUCCCUAAGUCCUCGAAAUGGUUAGUACAAUGCCAUGAUGUUAUGAUGUCAUGAUGUUAAGUAAAUAACAAGCACAAGCAAGUCACACAACAAUCAUUCCUAAGUUUUAAGGCUUGCAUGAGUUCCAUAGGUAAGUACCCUCCCCACUGAAGUUUGGUUGGUUCAACCUGUCCUAGAAUAGUAACCGGGUUCUAGAAGGAUCUCAAAUCAUCGACCUUUCUUUAAGUCCACUUCAGUGCAACACCAAGUGGUUGACCAAAGCUUCCCUAAAGUCCAAUCUCAAAGAGUGUAGUAUCGAGUCUCAAC
rnacentral:lncRNA from 1 species